rnacentral:rRNA from 1 species
UUUUUAAUAUAUUUUUGCUCCACGCGAGAAAGAUGCGUACGUGCGCGGAAUAUAUUAAGCACGGUUCCUUAUUUCCGACUUCUCGUGCUGAUCAGUUUGAUAUAUUAUACGGUUUUUUUUGACAUCGUAUGCAAAAGUUAUAGCCGUUUUACUUUUUCAUAACACUUUUUUGCAAAACAUGUCAAAAUUUAUGUUUUUGAAUUUUCCUAACUAAUAGAUGUAGUAACAUAAAUACAUCUCGAAGGAUUUUAAUUUUUGAAGUUUUUAUCAUUUUAUUUUCUUUUUUUCAAAACUAAAAUGGCGAUAGGGGGGGGCAGCAUAAUGGACAAAGGCGGGGGUAACAUGUCGGAUGCGAUCAUACCAGCACUAAAGCAUCGGAUCUGCCGAUCAUACCAGCACUAAAGCACCGGAUCCCAUCAGAACAAAGAAGUUAAGCGUGCUUGGGCGAGAGUAGUACUAGGAUGGGUGACCUCCUGGGAAGUCCUCGUGUUGCAUUCCC